AGGAAAAGAAACUAACAAGGAUUCCCCUAGUAACUGCGAGUGAAGCGGGAAAAGCUCAAAUUUAAAAUCUGGUAGUCUCUGGCUGCCCGAGUUGUAAUCUAGAGAAGCAUUAUCCGCGCUGGACCGUGUAUAAGUGUCCUGGAAUGGACCAUCAUAGAGGGUGAGAAUCCCGUCUUUGACACGGACGCCCAGGGCUUUGUGAUGUGCUCUCAAAGAGUCGAGUUGUUUGGGAAUGCAGCUCUAAAUGGGUGGUAAAUUCCAUCUAAAGCUAAAUAUUGGCGAGAGACCGAUAGCGAACAAGUACCGUGAGGGAAAGAUGAAAAGAACUUUGGAAAGAGAGUUAAACAGUACGUGAAAUUGCUGAAAGGGAAACGCUUGAAGUCAGUCGCGUUGGCUGGGGAUCAACCUUGCUUUUGCUUGGCUUACUUCCCAGUUGACGGGUCAGCAUCAGUUUUGACCGGUGGAUAAAGGCUAGGGGAAUGUGGCACCUCCGGGUGUGUUAUAGCCCUUGGUCAUAUACACUGGUUGGGACUGA
rnacentral:rRNA from 1 species